rnacentral:misc_RNA from 1 species
GAUGAAGAACGUAGCGAAAUGCGAUAAGUAAUGUGAAUUGCAGAAUUCAGUGAAUCAUCGAAUCUUUGAACGCACAUUGCGCCCCCUGGUAUUCCGGGGGGCAUGCCUGUUCGAGCGUCAUUUCACCACUCAAGCCUCGCUUGGUAUUGGGCAACGCGGUCCGCCGCGUGCCUCAAAUCGAUCGGCUGGGUCUUCUGUCCCCUAAGCGUUGUGGAAACUAUUCGCUAAAGGGUGCUCGGGAGGCUACGCCGUAAAACAAACCCAUUUCUAAGGUUGACCUCGGAUCAGGUAGGGAUACCCGCUGAACUUAAGCAUAUCAAUAAGCGGAGGA